rnacentral:rRNA from 1 species
UUAUCCUACGGGACGCAGCAGUGGGGAAUAUUGGGCAAUGGGCGCAAGCCUGACCCAGCAACGCCGCGUGAAGGAAGAAGGCUUUCGGGUUGUAAACUUCUUUUCUCAGGGACGAAGAAAGUGACGGUACCUGAGGAAUAAGCCACGGCUAACUACGUGCCAGCAGCCGCGGUAAUACGUAGGAUCCGAGCGUUAUCCGGAUUCAUUGGGUUUAAAGGGUGCGUAGGUUGUUUUAUAAGUUAGCGGUGAAAUACCGAUGCUCAACAUCGGGGCUGCCGCUAAUACUGUAGGACUAGAGAUCGGAU